rnacentral:rRNA from 1 species
UACGAAGGUCCCGAGCGUUGUUCGGAAUCACUGGGCGUAAAGGGCGCGUAGGCGGUCGUGACAAGUCACUUGUGAAAUCUCCGGGCUUAACUCGGAAAGGUCAAGUGAUACUGUCGGACUAGAGUACAGAAGGGGCAACUGGAAUUCUCGGUGUAGCGGUGAAAUGCGUAGAUAUCGAGAGGAACACCUGCGGCGAAGGCGGGUUGCUGGGCUGAUACUGACGCUGAGGCGCGAAAGCUAGGGGAGCGAACGGG